rnacentral:ribozyme from 1 species
AGCAAUCAGCAGGAACAAGGAGGCUCAGAAUGAAUCAAACUUCGUUGGGUCAAUAUCAUUUUUCAGACAUGCUUUUUUUUUUUUUUUUUUCCUUUUUUUA